rnacentral:rRNA from 1 species
GAUGAACGCUGGCGGCGUGCCUAAUACAUGCAAGUCGAGCGAACAGACGAGAGUGCUUGCACUCUCUGACGUUAGCGGCGGACGGGUGAGUAACACGUGGGUAACCUACCUAUAAGACUGGGAUAACUUCGGGAAACCGGAGCUCAUACCGGAUAAUAUUUAGCUUCGCAUGAAGCAAUAGUGAAAGACGGUUCUGCUGUCACUUAUAGAUGGACCCGCGGUGUAUUAGCUAGUUGGGGGGGUAACGGCUCACCAAGGCAACGAUACAUAGCCGACCGGAGAGGGUGAUAGGCGACACGGGGACGGAGACGCGGACCAUGCGCCUACGGGAGGGAGCAGUAGGGAAUCGGCCGCAAUGGACGAAAGUCUGACGGAGCAAUGCCGCGUGAGUGGAGAAGGUUUUCGGAGCGUAAAACUCGGUUGUAAGGGAAGAACAAGUACGUUAGUAACUGAACGUACCUUGACGGUACCUUACCAGAAAGCCACGGCUAACUACGUG